rnacentral:tRNA from 1 species
GGGGAUGUAGCUCAAUGGCAGAGCAUUCGCUUAGCAUGCCUGAGGCCCUGGGUUCAACCCCUAGUACCUCUC